UACGGAGGGUGCAAGCGUUAUCCGGAUUCACUGGGUUUAAAGGGUGCGUAGGUGGGCAGUUAAGUCAGUGGUGAAAUCUCCGGGCUCAACCCGGAAACUGCCAUUGAUACUAUCUGUCUUGAAUAUCGUGGAGGUAAGCGGAAUAUGUCAUGUAGCGGUGAAAUGCUUAGAUAUGACAUAGAACACCAAUUGCGAAGGCGGCUUACUACCCGAAUAUUGACACUGAGGCACGAAAGCGUGGGGAUCAAACAGG
rnacentral:rRNA from 1 species